rnacentral:rRNA from 1 species
UACGAGGGGGCGAGCGUUGUUCGGAAUUAUUGGGCGUAAAGGGUGCGUAGGCGGUUCCGCAAGUCCUGUGUGAAAUCUUCGGGCUCAACUCGAAGUCUGCACGGGAAACUGCGGGGCUUGAGUGUGGGAGAGGUGAGUGGAAUUCCCGGUGGUAGCGGUGAAAUGCGUAGAUAAUCGGGAGGAACACCUGUGGCGAAAGCGGCUCACCUGGACCAUAACUGACGCUGAUGCACGAAGCUGGGGGAGCAAACAGG